GCCGCGGAGGACAGGACGUCCGAGAGCGGCCACAGCAGACUUAAAAUCUGCCGACUAUUGCAGUCGUGCCGGUUCAAUUCCGGCUCCGGGCACCA
rnacentral:tRNA from 1 species